rnacentral:rRNA from 1 species
AUACGGAGGGUGCAAGCGUUGUUCGGAAUUAUUGGGCGUAAAGCGCGUGUAGGCGGUCUUUUAAGUCUGAUGUGAAAGCCCCGGGCUCAACCUGGGAAGUGCAUUGGAAACUGAGAGACUUGGGUACGGGAGAGGGUAGUGGAAUCCCUAGUGUAGGAGUGAAAUCCGUAGAUAUUAGGAGGAACACCGGUGGCGAAGGCGGCUGCCUGGACCGAUACUGACGCUGAGACGCGAAAGCGUGGGGAGC